rnacentral:rRNA from 1 species
UACGGGGGGGGGCAAGCGUUGUUCGGAAUUACUGGGCGUAAAGGGCGCGUAGGCGGCCCACUAAGUCAGACGUGAAAUCCCCCGGCUUAACCUGGGAACUGCGUCUGAUACUGGAGGGCUUGAGUAUGGGAGAGGGAUGUAGAAUUCCAGGUGUAGCGGUGAAAUGCGUAGAUAUCGAGAGGAACACCUGCGGCGAAGGCGGGUUGCUGGGCUGACACUGACGCUGAAGCGCGAAAGCUAGGGGAGCGAACGGG